CCUACGGGAGGCAGCAGUGAGGAAUAUUGGUCAAUGGACGAGAGUCUGAACCAGCCAAGUAGCGUGAAGGAUGACUGCCCUAUGGGUUGUAAACUUCUUUUAUAUGGGAAUAAAAUGUUCCACGUGUGGGAUUUUGUAUGUACCAUAUGAAUAAGGAUCGGCUAACUACGUGCCAGCAGCCGCGGUAAUACGGAGGAUCCGAGCGGUAUCCGGAUUUAAUGGGUUUAAAGGGAGCGUAGGUGGAUUGUUAAGUCAGUUGUGAAAGUUGGCGGCUCAACCGUAAAAUUGCAGUUGAAACUGGCAGUCUUGAGUACAGUAGAGGUGUGAGGAAUGCGUGGUGUAGCGGUGAAAUGCUUAGAUAUCACGAAGAACUCCGAGUGCGAAGGCAGCUCACUGGACUGCAACUGACACUGAGGCUCGAAAGUGUGGGUAUCAAACAGGAUUAGAUACCCGGGUAGUC
rnacentral:rRNA from 1 species